rnacentral:tRNA from 1 species
GCCGAGGUGGCGGAACUGGUAUACGCGCAUGCUUGAGGUGCAUGUGGAGGCAGCUCCUUGCAGGUUCAAGUCCUGUCCUCGGCA